rnacentral:rRNA from 1 species
UGCCGCGUGUGUGAAGAAGGCCUUCGGGUUGUAAAGCACUUUUGUCCGGAAAGAAAUGGCUCUGGUUAAUACCUGGAGUCGAUGACGGUACCGGAAGAAUAAGGACCGGCUAACUACGUGCCAGCAGCCGCGGUAAUACGUAGGGUCCAAGCGUUAAUCGGAAUUACUGGGCGUAAAGCGUGCGCAGGCGGUUGUGCAAGACCGAUGUGAAAUCCCCGAGCUUAACUUGGGAAUUGCAUUGGUGACUGCACGGCUAGAGUGUGUCAGAGGGGGGUAGAAUUCCACGUGUAGCAGUGAAAUGCGUAGAGAUGUGGAGGAAUACCGAUGGCGAAGGCAGCCCCCUGGGAUAACACUGACGCUCAUGCACGAAAGCGUGGGGAGCAAACAGGAUUAGAUACCCUGGUAGUCCACGCCCUAAACGAUGUCAACUAGUUGUUGGGGAUUCAUUUCCUUAGUAACGUAGCUAACGCGUGAAGUUGACCGCCUGGGGAGUACGGUCGCAAGAUUAAAACUCAAAGGAAUUGACGGGGACCCGCACAAGCGGUGGAUGAUGUGGAUUAAUUCGAUGCAACGCGAAAAACCUUACCUACCCUUGACAUGCCACUAACGAAGCAGAGA